GUCAAGGAGAUUAAAAGCUCCUGUCUCAUGAACCUACGCUGUGGUCCCAGUCCCUAGAGGGACAGAGAAACUACCUGAGCUUGAGGAGUGAAGGGGAGGCUACCUGAGUCUGGAUGGCAGCACGCAUCUUCAGAAAAGGGAAUCUGUCACUCAAAUUCCCAGGAAGAGGUGAGGUGAGAUGGCCAGGGCUGUGGCUACCUUUCUAGAACUUUCUCUUAGGCAAGGACUUGCUCUACAGCCUGCACUUGGUGUGCUGUCUGUGACAAGCAGGAGUCUUGUCCUAUCCCCUGGUCCUUGUCUUCUUGCUAGAUAGCCAGAUCUUCAAAGGAGGCAGACAGUCAGUGUUCUGAAGGAACACUGUCUGGACACAUAGGACCACAGCCAGACACGUGUCCAUUGACCUUGUUGGAGCUUGAUUCUGUUGCUGAACUGGAGGGAUUUCAGGCUCAGAGCAAGUGUCACACCAACUGAUUGAAGUUU
rnacentral:lncRNA from 1 species